rnacentral:rRNA from 1 species
UACGGAGGGGGCCAGCGUUGUUCGGAAUCAUUGGGCGUAAAGGGCGCGUAGGCGGCCACGCAAGUCGGAUGUGAAAUCCCCCGGCUCAACCGAGGAACUGCAUCCGAAACUGCGAGGCUCGAGUCCUGGAGAGGGUAGUGGAAUUCCCAGUGUAGCGGUGAAAUGCGUAGAUACUGGGAGGAACACCGGUGGCGAAGGCGGCUACCUGGACAGGUACUGACGCUGAUGCGCGAAAGCCAGGGGAGCAAACAGG